AUGGUCUUGAUCUCCUGAUCUCGUGAUCCACCCGCCUCAGCCUCCCAAAGUGCUGGGACAACAGGCGUGAGCCACCACACCCGGCCCACUUUGGUGUUUAAUUUUUGCCCCUCCCCUGUUUUCUGACAAACUGUACAGGAUAUCUCCCAGGAAAUGUUUCUCAGCCAUGACGGGACAAAAGACAUAUAGACUAACAGCAGGGCAAGGAGAAACUCCAUGCCUGAAUAUAGUGUCAGUCUUUCCCACUGAUCUGUGCUCUCUGCAUGAGGCUCUUUUUGAAAUAAGCUUGAGUGAGCAAAAGAAGAGCAAAAGAGGACUCUCCACAGGGUUUGAAAUCAACCGUAGCCCAAAGACAUCACUUUAUUUCCAAGCCAGGCAGGGAUAGGAGAACCUCUCAGAAUUACUAGCAAGCUUGAGUUCCAGGUGGAACCCUGUUUGUGGCAACACAAGCACAUUUUUUACUGAGCUGUGAUCCUCAGGGAUGUGGAAUAUUAUUUUUCUCCUGUCUGCAUUUGUGCAGAGAACAGAGCAGAGAAACUAAUGAAAUGCACAGAGCUUCAAGUGACUUUAAACAAGACUCUGCAUUAUGAAAGCAGGCAAUGAGGACCUACUCUUGGCUUUUCUUUCAACCCCUGGGCUCCUGUGAUGAGCUGAGUGCUUGUUAAUUCCCACAUUCACUAAACCAUCAGAGUUCUGCUGAUUCUCAGUUUUAGAGGGAAACUCUACAGUGAGCUUUUUCAAUGGCAAUCGUCAAUUACUGGUCAGAAUACAUUAUAAUUGUGAAAAUUAUACCCCAUUAAUCUCAUUAAAUAUGUCUAAACCUAUAACUUUUCAUAGAUCUAUACAUAGGUUGACUAUAUUUAACUUGCCUUGAUCUUGUUUGCCAUUUUUUACAAAAGCAUCAUCUAAAAUAUAGGGAGAGUUGUCAGUAAUUUGGGCUUGUUAAUAAACAUUGUUUUUGCUUUGUCAUUUUUGUUUUGCUUCAUCCCUCCUUUGUGUCCUUGUGGUUUUGCCUGGCAUGGGUGACACUUAACCAUUUUAACUUAGCAAACUGUCAUACCGAAGAAAAUGCCAAUUCUAUGAUAUCAGACAUCUGACUGCAGGCUGUGGUUUGUUCGCAUUGAAGUAAGCUGUAUGUUAAGAAAAGUAUCUGCAUUUUAUUUUUUAUAGCACUAACGCAUGUCCAAGGCUCAUAUGCUUGCCUUAUUUUCUUGAGGACUUUCCUCAUAUCUCACCAUUUGUGUCUACACUUGCAGACCUUUAGGGUGAUGAUUCUUUGGUUAGGGACCAUCUGAAAGAAAAGUGGGCCAAAGGGAAAAAUAAUGGCUCUGGAGAAAUAUGUUUAACUCAUAAAUAGGUCACUGGUGGGUGUAUAACUGGAAGGCUUUGGAAGCCCAAGUCAGCACUUAGCUGUGGCGUCAAACCACGACAGCACAGUUUGACAGCAUGCCCAGGAGAUUACUUCAGUCCUAUAGGAUGGGAAGCUUUUAGGUUUAUGAGUAGAAUUGGGGGAUGGGAGAGGGUAAGAGUAAAAGAAGUGGGGAAUAAUCCCUAUGGUGAUAUGGCCCAAAUAAUAUUAUUCUCCCUCUUUUUUUUUUUUUUUUUUUUUUUUUAUAGACCCUGUCAGGGGAGGGUAAAUGAAACAGAAGUCCUUCCUUAGGGAAAAGCAGCUGGGUCUUAAGUAGAAACCUGCUCUUGGGCCGGGCACGGUGGCUCACGCCUGUAAUCCCAGCACUUUGGGAGGCCGAGGCAGGCAGAUGACAAGGU